rnacentral:rRNA from 1 species
GACGAACGCUGGCGGCGUGCUUAACACAUGCAAGUCGAACGGAAAGGCCCUGCUUUUGUGGGGUGCUCGAGUGGCGAACGGGUGAGUAACACGUGAGUAACCUGCCCUUGACUUUGGGAUAACUUCAGGAAACUGGGGCUAAUACCGGAUAGGAACUCCUGCUGCAUGGUGGGGGUUGGAAAGUUUCGGCGGUUGGGGAUGGACUCGCGGCUUAUCAGCUUGUUGGUGGGGUAGUGGCUUACCAAGGCUUUGACGGGUAGCCGGCCUGAGAGGGUGACCGGCCACAUUGGGACUGAGAUACGGCCCAGACUCCUACGGGAGGCAGCAGUGGGGAAUAUUGCACAAUGGGCGGAAGCCUGAUGCAGCAACGCCGCGUGCGGGAUGACGGCCUUCGGGUUGUAAACCGCUUUCGCCUGUGACGAAGCGUGAGUGACGGUAAUGGGUAAAGAAGCACCGGCUAACUACG